AUACGUGAAGAAAGGAUUAGCUAGAGAAAAUGAGAGAGGGAGCGAAACACAGCAAGAAUUGGAAAAGAAAUGAGAUUAGUGGGGAAGAGAAAUAGUUAAGUGUGAGGAAGAGAAAAAAAACAAGUGAGGAAGAGAAAGAGUGAAAGAGUGAAGAGAGACAGAGUUUUAUGUGUGAGGAAAAAUGUAGAGAACGAAAGAAACAGAGGAGAGGGAGCCGUCAGCCGUAGGAAAAAAGGAAGACAUGAGGGAAAAGAUAAAUUAGUAAGAGAAAACAAGCAACUCGCUUGAGACAUUCCAGAUAGUAGACGGGAGUAUGUGUCAUGUACGCAGGAUCACAAGUAGUUAGUUAGAGACACGUCAGGUAGUCAGAUCAUGGUCACGAUAUAGGUCACCACGUGUAUAAGGAGUCUUUAAAAUUAUUUUCAUGACUCUGAUAAUGUACUUUUGAAAAAAUUAUUAAAAAAAUAGAUUUAUUUGUCCACUCGAUUUUUAGUACUUAAGUAUUUUAACACAAAUAUAAUUAUUUCUUUUUACACGUUAUUUUAAAUAUAUGUACUUUACAGUGUAUGAAAUUAGGGGUGUUACACCCACCACCAUGCACUGUGAUUCCUUCGUCAUCUUCAUUGCAAACCCUAACCCUGUUUUAGAUUUGGGUGAGUAGCGACAGGAUUGACCGCGUGAAUUAAGCAAGGGGGUUUCGCAUGGCAAUUUCUUUGCUGAUUAUGGGUUCUGGUGGGUGGGAUUACGAUGGGUGGAGGUUAUGAGUAUUGGAUUUUGGGUUGUUGUUGAUGAUUCCAUCUUAACUUUCACGAACUGGGUCAGUUUCAAAUCUGCAACUUGGUCUGCCCUCCAAGUGUUUGAAGGAAGUUUGAAUCUGGGCAUGAUGGAUGAUUUGGUGAAGGUUUCAGUAGCUUCCUAAGUUGUUUGGUCUUUGGGUAUUUUUGGGUCUUUUGUUUAUCUAGUUGCUUGAUUUAUGGGUAUGUUAAGCUUGUACUAGUUUUGUUCUGCUUGUAAUUUAAUUCCCUGUUCUUUCUCUCCUCUUUUUGUUAAGCUUGUACUGGGUUCUAGGUUACUUGAUUUCUUGUUUUUCACAUACGGAUGGCUCCAUUGUAUUGCAAUUUUGUAUAAUAUAUGAGAUUUGAGGGCUUUGGAUUCA